rnacentral:rRNA from 1 species
GACGAACGCUGGCGGCGUGCUUAACACAUGCAAGUCGAACGGAAAGGCCCUGCUUUUGUGGGGUGCUCGAGUGGCGAACGGGUGAGUAACACGUGAGUAACGUGCCCUUGACUUUGGGAUAACUUCAGGAAACUGGGGCUAAUACCGGAUAGGAGCUCCUGCUGCAUGGUGGGGGUUGGAAAGUUUCGGCGGUUGGGGAUGGAUUCGCGGCUUAUCAGCUUGUUGGUGGGGUAGUGGCUUACCAAGGCUUUGACGGGUAGCCGGCCUGAGAGGGUGACCGGCCACAUUGGGACUGAGAUACGGCCCAGACUCCUACGGGAGGCAGCAGUGGGGAAUAUUGCACAAUGGGCGGAAGCCUGAUGCAGCAACGCCGCGUGCGGGAUGACGGCCUUCGGGUUGUAAACCGCUUUCGCCUGUGACGAAGCGUGAGUGACGGUAAUGGGUAAAGAAGCACCGGCUAACUACGUG